rnacentral:rRNA from 1 species
UAAUAGUGUAUAUUAAAGUUGUUGCAGUUAAAAAGCUCGUAGUUGAAUGUUUGUGUCGAACGAGCGGUCAGCUUCGGCUGUACUGCUCUCUCGACUCCUUCCUUCUGUGGACUACGUCGCACUUUACUGUGUGGCGCUAGGACGCAGAUCGUUUACUGUGAAAAAAUUAGAGUGUUCAAAGCAGGCCGUACGCUUGAAUACAUUAGCAUGGAAUAAUGGAAUAGGACGUCGGGCCUAUUUUGUUGGUUCUAGGACCGUCGUAAUGAUUAAUAGGGACAGUUGGGGCCGUUUAUAUUCCGUAGUCAGAGGUGAAAUUCUUGGAUUUACGGAAGAUAAACUACUGCGAAAGCAUUCGGCAAGGAUGUUUUCGUUAA